rnacentral:rRNA from 1 species
GACGAACGCUGGCGGCGUGCCUAAUACAUGCAAGUCGAACGCAGUGGGGACGGGUGAGUAACACGUGGGUAACAUACCAUCAGAGGUGAUACCAAUUGGAAACAGGUGCUAAACCGAUACUGAUGGAUGGACCCGCUGUGCAUUAGCUAGUUGGUGAGGUAACGGCUCACCAAGUCAUCGAUGCAUAGCCGGUCUGAGAGGGUGAUCGGCCACACUGGGACUGAGACACGGCCCAGACGCCUACGGGAGGCAGCAGUUGGGAAUAUUCGGCAAUGGGCGAAAGUCUGACCGAGCAACGCCGCGUGAGUGAAGAAGGUUUUCGGAUCGUAAAACUCUGUUGUUAGAGAAGCGGUAUCUAACCAGAAAGCCACGGCUAACUACGUGCCAGCAGCCGCGGUAAUAC